rnacentral:snoRNA from 1 species
UGCCAAUGAUGCAUAAUAUGCACGUAUUAUCGGAUUUAUAAUGACGAUUUCGUAUGUUGUCACUACCACUGAGGCA